rnacentral:misc_RNA from 1 species
CCCUUGUGGAGGAGGACGCCGAAGGUGGGGCUAAUGACUGGGGUGAAGUCGUAACAAGGUAGCCGUACCGGAAGGUGCGGCUGGAUCACCUCCUAACAGGGAGACAACAAAAUGUUUAAUAUCAAUUUUGUCACCUUAGGUCGAUCGGUAUCUCACAUUCUUAAAUUGAUUAAGGAUUUCAUUUUCUAAGUUUUUCUAGGUCACACCCAUUACUUUUCCUGGGCCAUUAGCUCAGGUGGUUAGAGCGCACCCCUGAUAAGGGUGAGGUCCCUGGUUCAAGUCCAGGAUGGCCCAUAUCUCUAUGUUGGGGGUAUAGCUCAGUUGGUAGAGCGCCUGCUUUGCAAGCAGGAUGUCAGCGGUUCGAGUCCGCUUACCUCCACUGAUUACCACCUCUCUCAUAAUCUAUAGAAAGGAAAUGUUUUGAGUUGUGAUCAAAUUCUGAACGAAUCUAGCUUCCUAAUGAAAUAAUUAAGAUGCUGGACUCAUUGAAUUAAUUUCAUUGUUUUCAGAGAACCUUGACAACUGCAUAGAUUAUUUUUAAAGACAAUAAGCAUCUUUAAUGAUGCAGAUUUAUUAUUUGUGCGAAUGCAUUAAUAACAAUUCUAUUAAGCUGAUGCUUCAAUUUUUGAAGUUAUUGGUCAAGCUACAAAGGGCUCACGGAGGAUACCUAGGCACACA